rnacentral:rRNA from 1 species
UACGGAGGGUGCGAGCGUUAAUCGGAAUUACUGGGCGUAAAGGGUGCGUAGGUGGUUUGAUAAGUUAGCUGUGAAAACUCUGGGCUUAACCUGGAGGUGUCAGCUAAGACUGUUAGGCUAGAGUAUAGGAGAGGGUAGUGGAAUUUCCGGUGUAGCGGUGAAAUGCGUAGAUAUCGGAAGGAACACCGGUGGCGAAGGCGGCUACCUGGCCUGAUACUGACACUGAGGCACGAAAGCGUGGGGAGCAAACAGG